rnacentral:lncRNA from 10 species
AAAUGUAGUGUUUAUUGUGGGAGGUCAUUUACCCCACUAAAAAUCCGGGCUUCUGAUACGAAGGAAGUAAAGAAUGGCUUUGGGACCAAACAACCAGCAAUUUCUGCUUUUGGUGUGAAAUAGCGUGCCCAGAGUUUCUCAGUUGUGCCCUGUCUGCAGAAGACACUGCAUACCCCAGAGGCAAGUAGUAAGGACAGGGUGGGGGGCCGGAAGGGUGGGAGCUUAGCAUAAUGUCCACCCUCAAAUUUGGGAGGUGGCUGUAGGGUUCCCGGCUGGCUCUCCUGCAAUUCCAGUUACUUUGCCAGGAGCCUGGAGGACUCAGCUAACUGCCUGAAUCUUCACUGCCACCUGGCUUUAGCCAGUGGUCACUGGUACUGAAGCCUGUUGCAGCCUGCAAGCCGGAGCGGAGAGGAAAAAUUUCAAAGUCAGUGUUGAAAUCAUCAGGAGGAGUAAAAAGUAGAGCCAUUUUUAUUUCUUUCCAGGUCCCUGACCUCAGUUUCUCUUUGAGAGUGGUGGAUUUGUGGUUCAGCUAAUAUUUAGUGAGCAUCUACUUUAUGCAAGACCCCAGAUAGGCCCGAGGCAAUACAGACUUGAGUGGACAGGGUCCUACUUUCAGGAUCAUAGAUGUGUACACAGAUAACUCUACGGCAAGGCCCCGGAAAAGGUAAAGUGAGGUGGGCAAUCAGCCUAGGGGGUUGGGGGAACAUUCAGGAAACAGAAGGCAUUUGAGCUUGGCUUGGAGGAGCAGUUGGAAUAGUGAUUAGAGUAACUUGGGGAAAUGGUCAAAGGGCACCCCAAAGAAAGAAAAGAAGAGCAGAAAGGGCCUGAGAAAAAGUAAUUAACGUAGAACCAUUGGAGUUUAUGGAGGCUGUGUGGUGUGUGUGUGUAGUGUGUAUGUGCAUGUUUUUAGAAUGGACAUGGGCAUGGAGAUGGGGUGGAAUGAGAUGAGAGAAAAAACUGGGAAAGUAGUUUGAAGUAGCUCGCAGCAGGCUGUACAUGCUAGAAUAAGAACCCCAGGCUUUAUUAUGUAGAAAGGAGAAAGUCAUCAAAAAAUUUUGAAAGGGGGUAACAUAAUAGGCUUCCCUUUCUGUCAUAUAUAUAUAUAUAUAUAUAUACAUAUUUUUUUUAAUAUAAAGCAGCAGACAUUCUCUAAGAGGGCCAAACACCAACACAAGUCACAAUAGAGAGGGCUUAUUAUCGGCAUUUUCAGUUUUCCAUUUACAGACAUUCUAUAGUUAGAUGAUGACAAAUUUCCAUGGGAAAAGCUCAAAGUGUGGAAUGAGCAUAGUUCUGUUCCCAUCUGAAUAGGUUGUCACUAGCCAAGGUCACUGGGGAGGAGGCUCUAGAGACUUGUCCAGAUACAGCUUCUCUCUCUGUGGGUUAGACUUAGCCUGACUCCCCAGGAGCAGGGCAGCCUCACCUGAAUGGUAGCUGAGCAGGGCACUGAGCAGGGAGGGACAAGAGCUUCCUCUGCCCAAGCCCAGGGCACCUGGAAAGCCAGCCUCCUCUCCUGGAGGAAAGGAGGAGAUUGAGAGGGUGACCCGGGGUGGUGGACAACUGCAUCCCUCAUGUUCUCUGCCACUUCCACCUACACUGUUGCAGUGUCUGAGAAACUUAUCAGAACAAGUUCUCCUGUCCAUUAAAUAGCAUUUAAUCCUCCGAGGAGCCUUAAGAAUUGGGAAUAUGCUACAUUUUACUCUGGAAAAUAUGUUUAGUUUUUUGGUACUCACUGAAAACCUGGUGCAUGGGAGACUGAAAAAAAUAAAAUGAUGUUUUAUGCACAUGAAAGCAGCAAGUUAUGUCAGUUACUUCAUCUGUUACCAAGGAUUUGGGAAUUUUAGAGGCUCACUGGGUAAAAGCAGACUUUAUUUUCAUUUCCUAGACUGAAACAAUAUAGGGUUGUGAGAAGUUUAACUGUAAUUUUUUUGUCAUUGUUUAAAGCUGCAACUUUGAACAUUGUGCUGAAACUUAGAUCUGAGAGAUCAGCAGAUCUAUAUAGUAGCAUCUGAUUUGUCAGGGAUCAUCAGGGGAUGAGGCAUUUCAGAGAAAUAAAAUAUUCCAGUAUUUAAAUCAUAUCUCUUGAGGGUCUUAAUGUUUGUGUUAAUCAUUUUUUGAUGUAAGAGUUUCCCAAAUCUCCAGCUAACCCACUGCCUUGUGAAACAAGAAUGCAGUAUCAGAUCCCAUUUGCCCUGCUGAUUUAAGAGCAUUUGUAUGAAAGCCAGUUAUCAGAUCAUUCUGAUGCACUGCCCUCUGAGGCUACCAAAACUUGUUGGGUGUUUACCCCUGUCUUCAGCGGACCCAUUUGUCAUCAUCCUAUAAUUCUGUUAGCCAUAAGUACCCCCAGUAUAUUUUCCUGGGCAAGAAUGUGGUAUUUCUGUCUGGUGUUGGCAUUAGAGGAUCUCCAUCCGAGUGACAGUUGGGUUUGUUUAGGCUUGCUUUGAUUAGCCUUGCUUGCUUGUAAUGUGAAGUCCAAAGAUCAGAAUUCAAGUUCCAUUUCUUUCUCUUCUCCUUGUAUGAUCUUGGACAAGUUAUCAGCCCCUCUAUACCUGGGUUUGCCCGCUAACAAAAAUGGUCAUAAUAAUACCCAGCCCAGGGCUGAGAAUGAAGCUGUAUCAUAAAUACAAUGUGUUAUACAAAUGGUAGUUCAUUUCACUACAAAAUACCUGCUCAUGCCCAACUUCACCUUAGGCAUAUAAUUGAUCAGGAGUGAGUUGUUGAGAGCACUUCUGAGUUUUAAAUAACAUGGAGAGGGGCUGUUUAUUGAAGGGAUAACUGUGGCAGAUGCAGCAGGAAGGCUCUAAGGGGAAAGCGUCUCCCCUAAAUUUCCUAUUAUGCAACUUAGUGUCCAGAACACUGUGGUGGUUGAGAAUCAGGGUUCAGCAGAAUAUGCAAAUUGCCUUUCCUUUCAUCAGGACACAAAGAAAGAAAUGAGCCCCCAAAAUAUCUCUCAGAAGUGACAUGGGUUUAUCAUUUCCAUUAUCCUUGACACUUUUCAGGGGUUAAAUGUCUCUGGCUAGGCGCAUGUUAUUAUUUGAGUAUUACUAGCCCUUUAAGAGCCUCGAC